rnacentral:rRNA from 1 species
CAAUAGCGUAUAUUAAAGUUGUUGCAGUUAAAAAGCUCGUAGUUGAAUUUCUGUACAGUCCCAAUUUUGGCUUCGGUCAGGUUGUGGAUUGUGCAUCCGCUUGCAAAUCUAGUUCGGCAUUCACUUGUUGGCUAGGGGAGUAAGCUUUUUACUUUGAAAAAAUUAGAGUGUUUCAAGCAGGCAAUGGCUCGAAUACAUUAGCAUGGAAUAAUGGAAUAGGACUUUUGUCCAUUUGAUUGGUUAUUGGACUUAGGUAAUGAUUAAAAGGGACAGUUGGGGGCAUUAGUAUUUAAUUGUCAGAGGUGAAAUUCUUGGAUUUAUUAAAGACUAACUUAUGCGAAAGCAUUUGCCAAGGAUGUUUNCAUUGA